GAUGAACGCUGGCGGCGUGCCUAAUACAUGCAAGUCGAGCGAAGGGACGAGAAGCUUGCUCCUCUGAUGUUAGCGGCGAACGGGUGAGUAACGCGUGGAUAACCUACCUAUAAGACGGGGAUAACUUCGGGAAACCGGAGCUAAUACCGGAUAAUAUUUGGAACCGCAUGGUUCAAAAGUGAAAGACGGUAUUGCUGUCAUACAUAGAUGACUCCGGUCUGCAUUGGUUAGUUGGUAAGGUAACGGCUUACCAAGGCAACAUAGCUUGGCCGACCUGAGAGGGUGACGGCCCACCUGGGACUUGGGACCCGGUCCAGCCCCCUCGGGGAGGCACCAGUAGGGAUCUUCGCCCAUUGGGCGAAAGCUUGCCGGAGCACCGCCCCGUGGUUGAUGAAGUUCUUCGGUCCUUAAGCCCUUGUUAUUAGGGAAGACCAUAUUUGGAAGUAACUGUGCACAUCGUGACGGUACCUAAUCAGAAAGCCACGGCUAACUACGUG
rnacentral:rRNA from 1 species